CUUACACAUGCAAGUCGAACGGCAGCACGGGUGCUUGCACCUGGUGGCGAGUGGCGAACGGGUGAGUAAUACAUCGGAACAUGUCCUGUAGUGGGGGAUAGCCCGGCGAAAGCCGGAUUAAUACCGCAUACGAUCUACGGAUGAAAGCGGGGGACCUUCGGGCCUCGCGCUAUAGGGUUGGCCGAUGGCUGAUUAGCUAGUUGGUGGGGUAAAGGCCUACCAAGGCGACGAUCAGUAGCUGGUCUGAGAGGACGACCAGCCACACUGGGACUGAGACACGGCCCAGACUCCUACGGGAGGCAGCAGUGGGGAAUUUUGGACAAUGGGCGAAAGCCUGAUCCAGCAAUGCCGCGUGUGUGAAGAAGGCCUUCGGGUUGUAAAGCACUUUUGUCCGGAAAGAAAUCCUUGGUUCUAAUAUAGCCGGGGGAUGACGGUACCGGAAGAAUAAGCACCGGCUAACUACGUGCCAGCAGCCGCGGUAAUACGUAGGGUGCGAGCGUUAAUCGGAAUUACUGGGCGUAAAGCGUGCGCAGGCGGUUUGCUAAGACCGAUGUGAAAUCCCCGGGCUCAACCUGGGAACUGCAUUGGUGACUGGCAGGCUAGAGUAUGGCAGAGGGGGGUAGAAUUCCACGUGUAGCAGUGAAAUGCGUAGAGAUGUGGAGGAAUACCGAUGGCGAAGGCAGCCCCCUGGGCCAAUACUGACGCUCAUGCACGAA
rnacentral:rRNA from 1 species